rnacentral:rRNA from 1 species
AUUGAACGCUGGCGGUAUGCUUAACACAUGCAAGUCGAACGGUAACAGGCAAAGCUUGCUUUGCGCUGACGAGUGGCGGACGGGUGAGUAACGCGUGGGAAUCUACCUUUUAGUGGGGGAUAGCCCGGAGAAAUCCGGAUUAAUACCGCAUAAGCCCUACGGGGGAAAGCUGGGGAUCUUCGGACCUGGCGCUAUUAGAUGAGCCCGCGUUAGAUUAGCUAGUUGGUGGGGUAAAGGCCUACCAAGGCGACGAUCUAUAGCUGGUCUGAGAGGACGAUCAGCCACACUGGGACUGAGACACGGCCCAGACUCCUACGGGAGGCAGCAGUGGGGAAUAUUGCACAAUGGGCGCAAGCCUGAUGCAGCAAUACCGCGUGUGUGAAGAAGGCCUGCGGGUUGUAAAGCACUUUCAAUCGUGAAGAAAUGUUC